CUUGUUGGUAGGGUAAUGGCCUACCAAGGCGAUAAUGGAUAGCUGGUCUGAGAGGACGAUCAGCCACAUUGGGACUGAGAUACGGCCCAGACUCCUACGGGAGGCAGCAGUGGGGAAUAUUGGACAAUGGACGAAAGUCCGAUCCAGCGACACCGCGUGGGGGAUGAAGGCUUUCGGGUUGUAAACCCCUUUUCUGGAGGAAGAAUAAGGUUGGGAGGAAAUGCCCAUCCGAUGACGGUACUCCAGGAAUAAGCAUCGGCAAACUUCGUGCCAGCAGCCGCGGUAAGACGAGGGAUGCAAGCGUUAUCCGGAAUUACUGGGCGUAAAGGAGGUCUAGGCGGUUGGAUAAGUCAUUUGUGAAAUCCCAGGGCUUAACCCUGGAAGGUCUUGUGAUACUGUCCGGCUUGGGUGUAGGAGAGGAGAGCGGAACUCACAGAGUAGCGGUGGAAUGCGUAGAUACUGUGAGGUACCCCGAUGGCGAAGGCAGCUCUCUGGCCUAUUACCGACGCUGAAGCCUGAAAGCGUGGGGAGCAAAGGGGAUUAGAUACCCCCGUAGUCCACGCCCCAAACGAUGUUCACUUGGUGUCGGGAGCCUAUAUAUCUCGGUGCCGGAGCUAACGCGUUAAGUGAACCGCCUGAGGAGUACGGCCGCAAGGCUAAAACUCAAGAGAAUUGACGGGUCCCCGCACAAGCGGUGGAGCACGUGGUUUAAUUCGAUGAUAAGCGAAGAACCUCACCUGGGCUUGACAUACUAGUGGUAAGAACCGGAAACGGUGAUGACCCUACCUUCGGGUAGGGAGCUAAUACAGGUGAUGCAUGGCUGUCGUCAGCUCGUGUCGUGGGAUGUAGGGUUAAGUCCCGAAACGAGCGCAACCCUUGUCACUAGUUGCCAGCGGAUAAUGCCGGGGACUCUAGUGAGACUGCUGGUGAAUAGCCGGAGGAAGGCGGGGAUGACGUCAAGUCAUCAUGUCCCUUAUGCCCAGGGCGACACACAUGCUACAAUGGGAAGUACAAAGGGUUGCAAUACGGUAACGUGGAGCCAAUCUCAAAAAACUUCCCCCAGUUCGGAUUGUGGUCUGCAACUCGACCACAUGAAGCCGGAAUCGCUAGUAAUCGUGGGUCAGCCAUACCACGGUGAAUAUGUACUCGGGGAUUGUACACACCGCCCGUCACACCAACCGAGUGGGGGGUACCUGAAGUCGC
rnacentral:rRNA from 1 species